CAAAAAUUAACAAUUUCAAUUUCAGCAUUUCAACUCAACUUUAAUUUCGGGUAAUGUUCUAGUAUAAGUUAUCCUUUGGUGUUUCUUGGAAAGCGAAAUAAGCAUGAAACAGUUAAAAACGUUCGAAAGCAUACUUGACGUCCUUUGAAAGUUCGUAUUAUAAAGUUGGUCGUCGUUCGCCUUUCGAAUAUGCUUCGAUUAACAAAAGAUGGUAUGGUUUCCGUGCAAGACAUUGUAUACGAGUGCAAGGGGACAUACUUUCCAGGGGCGGAUCCAGCGAAAAAUCUGACUGUAGCAUAAUCCUAAAAUUCCGAGGCACCAGCAGUCUAGGGGGG